UCCCACAAAUCCCGCAAGACAGAUCGAUUAAUAUAUAAACUGAUCGGUUGGUUAAUAGAUUAUAUAUAUGUAAAUGGAAUUCAAUUUUUACCACUAAAAGAAUAAAACAAAACUUGCAUAAACCAUGUAAAAACAUUUUAAUUCCUGUUAUAAGACAUCACUUAUUUCUAUCCCUCACUUAAAGUGAAGUAUUAAAAGUUUUAAAGUGUUUUCCCAUAAAUCACCAUAGUCUAUUUUGUUUGCCCACCCAAUCCCAUCCGCAACAAAGUACAUUUUACCUGCUCCUGCUUGGCAUUUGGGUCAUGUAGCACCCAUGGGAUUCCAGUCCUGCUGCAGGUCUCUGGGAUGGGAGAGCAGAAAGAGCCCAACAGCUCAGGGAGACUGCUCCUCCUCUGACCAAUGGGAUGAUUCUUCUGCUUUUCUCCCCUCCACUCUUUCUCCCUUCAACACUUAGGAAGGGGAAGAGGGGGCCCUGCUGCAGCCCCCCAGACUGGAACGAGGUGAAGAAUCCCAGGACUAGAGGUGAUGCUGGGGGGGGGGGGGCAUAAUUGAUUUGGGAUCAGGGCAAAAUGAAUUUCAGGCAGGAAGACAGGUAGAUGUGGGCAUGAAGAUAGAAUCCCAUCUACUCACCCACACACACUUUUUUCAGACCAUUUUAAGCACUGCUAGACUGGUACUGCUGCUGCUUCAGAAAAGUGCUACUUUCUAAUAAUUGUUUACAAAAGUUCAUUAGGAAUUUUGGGUAGAUUAGACGUAGCUUGUGAAGUUCCACCCUAGGGAGAAAAAGCUCCAUUUUGCCAGUUUUCAUAAAGAGACUCUGGAUAUGGAAAUGUAUUAAAAUGAAAAGCAUUGUAUUCUGAGAACGUUGGCUUCUACAUUAAUGGUCCCAAACAGUUUCUCUUAAUAUAGGGUAUGUCUAUACUACCUGCUGGAUCAGCAGGCAGCGAUCGAUGUAGCGGGGGUUGAUUUAUCACGUCUAGUCUAGACGCGAUAAAUCGACCCCGAGCACUUUUCCAUCAACUCUGGUACUCCACCGGAGCAAGAGGCGCAGACGAAGUCGACGGGGGAGCAUCAGCAGUCGACUCACCGUGUCCCUCUUGGGAGUUGGUGGUUUGUAAAAGCAGAUGAUGGACUAGAAUGCAACAUGCCUGGCACAACUGUCCAAACUUUGGCAUCAGUGGAAAACUACACAGCAAUUAGAUCAUGUUGGUUAUCAAGUCUGCUCCCCUCGUCUCAUCCCCCAAACUGCCAGCACUGGAACUCAUCGCAGCUCAGCUGAAGGAGUUCCUUCCAGAGAAGAAGGCUGGCUUGCUCACUCAUUUAAGGAACUUCAUUUUCACCUUUAUACUACAAUCAUCCAAAUCUGCCUUAUAAGGAGAAAAUAUCCAAUCAAAUGACAGGCCUGACAGAUCAUAACCAAGGUCCAAGCAGCAUGCAUUGUGGAAGACUUGCCAGCCAUCCAGUGUUUCAAACAUAUCAACAAUGUAUUUUAACCAUCUUUUCUAUCCUGAGUCUCCUCUACCUUGUUAAGAACAGGAUAAGUAAAUGCCCUCUACAAAUCAGAACUGGGAGUAAAAUUAAUCCUUUUCCUUUUCAUCAAAGAAAGGGAGUUCUGAAAAUAAGACUGAUGGUUUGCCUCCAAAAGGAGGAAAAACUUGAAAGGUUUUGACUGUUUUGCACACUCAACCACAGUUUCAGUAUAAAUGCCUGUUUUAAUUUCUUGUUCUUUCUUGCAUUUAAUCAAUUUUUAAUCUGAAUGAAUACUUUUGGCUGUUUGCCAUAUAACCAAGUAAAACCAAGGCCUUGCUGUUUAAAAGAACCCAUUUCAUGUUGGAGAAUGAAAUCUAUAGACACCUUUUAUGUCCUUAAGAUCAAUAUCCUUUGACAUCAAUAUCAAUGUCCACAGGGGAUAGGACUGAUUGUGAGGUUUGGGGUAGAGUUGCUGGCAGGUAAUGGUCAGAUGUGGGGGUGAAAGCUCCUGCAGCAGGAGCCAAAAAUCAAUUUUACUCCAUAAAUUUGGUAAUAGUCAACAAUUAUUUCUCACACCUGGGACAGGCAGGGAUAGUUCAAAAAUCAAGACAGAUUAGAAAACAAUAUAAUAUUUAAAAAAACAUGGUAUUUGGGGACUGACUCAUGAUUUUUGAUCUUUUGAGGUUGACAAUACUGGAGCCAGGUCUUGAGCUGCUCUAAAGGUCCAGCUCACCCUGUAACAGGUUCCUUUUAUGGUAUUAUCCCAAUGGUUCUCAAACUUUUGUACUGGUGACCCCUUUAACAUAGCAAGCUGCUGAGUGUGACCCCCCCCCCUUUAUAAAUUAAAAACAUUUUUAUAUAUUUAACACCAUAAUAAAUGCUGGAGGCAAAGCAGGGUUUGGGGUGGAGACUGACAGCUCGCGACCACCCCUGUAAUAACCUCCCGACCCCCAGUUUGAGAACCACUGUAUUAUCCAAACUGGUGAUUUUCCUACUGAAAUAGGAAGACCCUCAGACCUCUAACAGGAUCCAUCACUUGGUUCUAAUUCUAGAAUAUUCUAAAAUGUCAGGCUUCAAAGUCAUGAUGUCUUUAUGAACAAAGUCCAUUUUAAGUCACAUUUAGUGGUUUUAACUUUAUCAGCUUUAAUUUCAAUCAUGUACAGUUGGAAUUGUAACUAAGGCAAGUGUCUUUCCAGGCAGAGGCCUACUUCCAAUACAAUUUUAAAACUCAAGCAUUCCUUAAGGUUUUUUGGUAAAAUGUGUUGUAUACAAAUUACAUGAAAUUGUGAGAGAUUUCACAACAUGAAAUUGUGAGAGAUUUUCUUGGCUAUUAAUUGGGAUAACCUACAUAAAACCAGGCUUCAGAGUGGUGAUUAGUCUCAUUAUAAUUGGUAUGGCAACACCCAUUUUUUCAUGUUCUCUGUGUAUAUCUAUAUCUUCCUACUGUAUUUUCCACUGCAUGCAU